UACGUAGGGGGCAAGCGUUGUCCGGAUUUAUUGGGCGUAAAGCGUCCGUAGGCGGCUUAUCAGGUGGAGUGUGAAAUCCCACGGCUCAACUGUGGGCGUGCACUCCAAACCGAUAGGCUAGAGUCAAGUAGGGGGAGAUGGAACUCCAGGUGUAGCGGUGAAAUGCGCAGAUAUCUGGAGGAACACCGGUAGCGAAGGCGGUCUCCUGGGCUUGUACUGACGCUGAGGGACGAAAGCUAGGGGAGCAAACAGG
rnacentral:rRNA from 1 species